rnacentral:rRNA from 1 species
UGCCGGUUCGACUCGAUCCGGCCGGCCCCGACCCGCCAAGCCGCGCCGGAGAUCGAGGAGGGCUCGCCCGAGGCCCAGCGGCGACCGGGGUCCCCGGCAAUUCCGCCGCCAAGGAGGUGCGGAGGCGCAUCCCCGCGCCCGCCCGUGCUCCCUCCAUCCCUCCCUCCCGCUCCGCUCCAGGGAAGAAGAGGAAAGCGCGCAUCUUGGAAGGACGAUUUGUCCGUUCGUCGUCGUCCCCCAGCUGGUGCGGUGGGUUGCCCCGCUCCGCUCAGCUCACCUCAGCUCACGGGGCCGGAUUUGGUCUGGCGGUGCGGGUGCGGUUGGGGUGCGAAUUAAAAAAGGGCGAGGAGAGGGGGAGUGGUUAGUUCUUCCCUACCCUUGGCCGCUUGCAGCGGGGGCGCUAGCUGCUUCGUUGGCUCGCUCGUGCCAUUAAAGGCGUCCCCUUCCUCCCUCCGCCCCCCUCUCUCUCCCGGUGGUUGGGUCCUCGGAAGAUCUGCGUCGGUUCUUGCCAGGGGUUUGGGCAGAUUCGAGGAAGAAGACGGGGGCGGGCUCUGAUUCGCCGUGGUAUUUAUGUGCCAUGAGGAAGCUCUUCUUCUCCGAGUUGACCUCCUGCAAGGAGACCAAGCUCCAGUCCGCCACCCACUCAUGGCUGCCCAUGGACAAAGGCAAGCUCUCCAAGUUCACUGGCCACUCCAGCUCCUCCUCCUCGAUAGAAUCUCUGAUGAAAAUGCCGGAGCCGCCGGUCCUCCCGCACUUCAAGCCCGCUGACUACGUCGACAUAUUGGCUCAGAUUCACGAGGAGCUGGAAUACUGCCCUCCCGACGAGAAGUCGUGCCUGUACCUGCUCCAGUUCCAGGUCUUCCGCGGGCUUGGUGAGGCCAAGCUGUCGCGAAGGAGCCUCCAGGCUGCGUGGGAGAAGGCGAGCACGAUACACGAGAAGCUCAUAUUUGGGGCAUGGCUCAAGUACGAGAAGAGAGGGGAGGAGCCCAUAUCUGACCUUCUUGGCUCGUGCGGCAAGUGCUCUCAAGAGUUCAAGCUGCUGGAUUUCGUCUCGCAGAUCUCCGCCGAUUCGCUCGGGAUAAGCUAUGACGACGAAUCUGAUGAGUUCCAGGGCUCCCCGGUGGUUCAUUUCCGGAUAAGAGAUGACAUGAUUGCCUGCGAUAGGCGGAAGCUUGCGGCCUUGUCAACUCCACUGUAUGCGAUGCUUAAUGGUGGGUUUAAGGAAUCACAUCUUGAGGUCAUUGACAUGUCUCGGAACGGCAUCUCGCCUAUUGGUAUGCGGGCCAUCAGUAAAUUCAGCCUGUCAGGAAGACUACCGUAUUUGUCAGCAGAAUCUAUUUUGGAGAUGCUUGAUUUUGCUAACAAAUUCUGCUGUAAGGGCCUCAAGGAUGCUUGCGAGCAAAAGCUUGCUUCUUUUGUUUCUUCCAGGCAAGAUGCCAUAGAUUACAUGGAGUGUGCUAUUGAGCUGGGCUGUUCCAUACUUGCCGCGUCAUGCUUGCAGGUGCUCCUGAAUGAGCUUCCAGAAUGCUUGAAUGAUGAGCAAGUGGUUAGGAUAUUCUCCUCUGCGAAUAAGCAGCAGAGAUCCACUAUGGCUGGCAAUGCAUCCUUCUCCCUAUAUUGCCUUCUUGGUGAAGUCUCCAUGAGCAUCAGUGCAACAUCAGAUGUCACUGUAAGCUUCUUGGAGAAGCUGGUUGACUCGGCAUCAGAUUCUAGACAGAAGCAGUUGUCCUUGCAUCAGCUGGCUUGCGUGAGGCUGCUAAGGAAAGAUCAUGCUGAAGCGGAGCGCCUGUUCAAUGCUGCCUUUACCGCUGGUCAUGUCUACUCGGUAGUGGGCUUGGCUAGAUUGGCCUCUCUGAGGAGCAAUAAGCAUUAUUCUCUCAACUUGCUUGACUCUGUCAUGUCAUCUCGUUGGCCUCUUGGGUGGAUGUAUCAAGAGAGAGCCCUAUAUCUGGACGGUGAUAGCAAGUUGGAGAAUCUCAAUAAGGCUACUGAACUGGAUCCGACGCUUACAUACCCCUAUAUGUUUCGAGCUGCAUCGUUGAUGAAAAGGCAAAGUGUUGAAGCUGCCCUGAUGGAGAUUAACCGGAUCCUGGGGUUCAAGCUGGUCCUGGAAUGCUUAGAGCUAAGGUUCUGUUGCUACCUUGCUCUAGAGGACUACAGAGCUGCCUUAUGCGAUGUACAGGCAAUCCUCACGCUUGCUCCAGAUUAUCGUAUGAUUGGUGGUCGGGUGGCUGCGAAGCAGCUACGUACACUUGUGAUGGAGAAUGUAGAGCAAUGGACGACUGCUGAUUGCUGGAUGCAGCUUUAUGAUCGGUGGUCCUCUGUGGAUGAUAUUGGAUCCCUCUCGGUCAUAUAUCAAAUGCUGGAGUCAGAUGCUGCUAAGGGAGUACUGUACUUCAGACAGUCUUUGCUACUUCUCAGAUUAAAUUGUCCUGAGGCAGCAAUGCGCAGCUUGCAGCUUGCUCGCGAGCAUGCGGCAAGCCAACAUGAACGGCUUGUUUACGAAGGAUGGAUACUGUAUGAUACUGGCCACUGCGAGGAAGGAUUGCAGAAAGCGGAAGCAUCGAUUGCCAUACAGAGAUCAUUUGAGGCAUUCUUUCUAAAAGCUUAUGCUUUAGCUGAUUCGAGUCUUGAGCCGUCAACCUCGGCAACAGUCGUAUCGCUUCUUGAAGAUGCAUUACGGUGUCCCUCAGAUAGACUUAGGAAGGGCCAGGCUUUGAAUAACCUUGGGAGUGUUUAUGUGGAUUGCGGUAAUCUAGACUUGGCAGCUGAAUGCUACAUCAACGCCUUAAAGAUUGGCCACACCAGAGCUCAUCAAGGCCUCGCCAGGGUUCAUUUCCUUAGGAAUAACAGGACCGGUGCGUUCGAGGAAAUGACCAAGCUGAUAGAGAAGGCCAGGAGCAAUGCAUCAGCAUACGAGAAGAGGUCUGAGUAUUGUGACCGGGAUCUAACUAAAGCUGAUCUGCAGAUGGUCACCAAACUUGACCCCCUCCGGGUCUACCCCUACAGAUACCGUGCUGCUGUUCUGAUGGACAACCACAAGGAGAAAGAUGCCAUCUCAGAGCUGACUAAGGCAAUUGCCUUUAAGGCGGACCUGAACCUGCUCCAUCUGCGUGCGGCCUUCCAUGAGCACGUGGGUGACAUCUCAGGCGCCCUCCGGGACUGCCGCGCAGCACUUUCCGUGGACCCCAACCACCAGGAGAUGCUCGAGCUUCAUCACCGGGUGAACAGCCAAGAACCCUGAGCCCGUUGUUGUACAUACAGGAGGGGCUCCCAUAGCGAAAACCCAUACCAGUGUAUGUUCUGUACCAUACACAGCAAGCAGUAAUUUUUAGUUUUGAUGGUGUCUAGUGCGGCUGUAAGGAUUGUGAUCAUCAAAACGUCUAAAAUUAAGCCACGUGCUAUAUGGAAAAUAUUACAUUCCACCUGUGUCACUUGGCUACACUAACUGGGCAAUAGGCUUCAGCAUGCAACAAUACACUGCAUACUGCCGAUUGAACCGAAGGCCUGGCUGUUGUGUUCUUCAGUUUUUGCACUGCUGUAAGAUCCACUUCUUUUGUGUUAGUAGUGAAUCUGUUGCGACAUGCAAUUUGAUAUGUCCGUUGUGUAACCAUUUUCAUACUUCGUAAACUGCUGAAUAGCACUAUUAGUUGAUCCUCAGGCUGCAGAUGUAAAGAUAGUUCAUGUAGUUGCUUUUGUGUGAUUAACUAUGGUUAGGGCCUGCAAAUUGGAUAUCAUUUCUGAUUAUCAUGGUCGGUAAACUGGUAAAUAACACUACUAAUAGUUGCAUAUGGUUGAAGACUGGAAUGAUCUGCAUGAGUCGGUUACCACUGCAUGUUAUUCCCAGAUGGACAGGUACAGUUAUUUUCUUGUUAGUGAACAUGUGUACUUUGUGUAGUGGCCAUGAAACUAGAUGAGCUUAUGUUAUAUUUCUCUGUUACUUUUGAAGGUUGCAAUGGUGGCCUGGUGGGAUCUCACAAGGGAAGCUGCCAUUUAUUUGAUACAACUGUUUGCUCAAGGAAGUUCCCGGCAAGUCCUGACUACUUCUGCAGAUUAAAGAAUCCGUGUUGUUAAUGGCUAUGGGCUUGUUCAUAAAUUUUUAAAGGGGUUCAGCAAUACCAGAAGCUAAAUGGGGCUGCUCACAGAUACACCGAGAGCCCAGUUUGCAAAGCUGGUUGAAAGCACAAACACCAGCAAUCAUCCAGUUGAAGCAGUGUCCCCGUCCUUGCCCGACGAACAACCACCAAGGAGGAGUCCUGGUCAUGGCUGUCCAGCGCCUGUCCAUGUGGGGUUUGGUAAUUGUCACGGGCGUGUGGGGUUUGGUUAUUGUCGCGGAGAAGCCAGAGUGUUCCAGGUUUUUGGUUUCCCUGUUCCGAGUGCGAAGCUAGCGUAAGAGCGCGGAGCUGUUGGUUUCUUUUCCUGUAUAGAUAUCUUUAGGUUUUCACCCAAAGUCUCAACUGGUUGAAAGUGUUGUCUGUUUGAUGCCUGCUUUCUUUGGGUGGUGCCUGCCGUAAGAAAGAGAUUAAUUCAGAAAAACCAUACCAUUCUUUCCACUGCUGAUAUAGCCUCUGUAAUCGUAUGGUUAACAGCCAGCCAGUACAUUUAUUUGUUGGUAACAUAUUGGUUAUUUCCUGAUGCUACAUGACAGGAUGUAUCCCUUGUGCUUCAAAAAAUUC